UGUCCUUGAAUUUCCAUGAAACGAACCCGAAACAGAGGAAGACAUUUUAUUUGCAAAAGGAAAAACUGUCUCAUCAUGCAAAACAUGUCUUGAAACAACAAAUUUACCAGUAAGCAUAUUAAAACACAAAACUGUCUUGUAACCUUGUGCAUAACCCAUGAACAUACAUUGAGCAGUCCUUGGUUGAAGCUUGUGCACAUUAUAACAUCUCAAGUAAGGAUAAACAGCAGUACCAAAAACUCUCAGAUGUUGAACACGAGGAGCAUGACCAAACAACUUAAGAAAUAGAGAUUGAUGAUUCAAAACCACACUCGGCAUUCUAUUUAUUAGAUAAACAGCAUGAGCAACAGAAUGAACCCAAAACUUUGUAGGAAGUGAAGCAACAGAUAAAAGAGUUAUGGUUGUGUCAAUAACAUGACGAUUCUUUCUUUCAGCCAGCCCAUUCUGCUGAGGAGUGUGAGGGCAAGACAAGUGAUGAUUAACGCCUUUAGAAUAAGAAAGGCAAUGAACAAUGUGCUAGUAAACUCACCCCCUCCAUCAGUUUGAAAUAUCUUAACUUUAGCAUCAUACUGAUUUGUGAGCAUAGCAUAAAACUUCUUGAAAACUCCAAAAACAUCUGAAUGGGAUAUAGCCACAUAAACCAGUACAUUCAUCAACAAAAUUGACAUAAUAUUUGUAGCCAUCAAUGGAUUUUACAGCAGAGGGACCCCAUACAUCACUAUGGAUACAUUGAAAUGGCAUAGUAGCUCUAGAAUGACUAGUAGGAAAAGACAACCUAUGCAUUUUGCCUUGCAAACAUGCUGAACAGAUAGCUAAAGAAAGAUCAUCAGAAGCAGAAAUAGCAGAAGCUUGCAACAUUUUCUUUGUAACCUCAUUAGUGGUAUGUCCUAACCUUUGAUGCCACAGGGAGAACUUUAUUUGCUGGCCAAUGUAAGCUUUAUGCAGCGAAGAAAUUGAAGAAUUU
rnacentral:lncRNA from 1 species